rnacentral:siRNA from 1 species
CGCUCUUGCGAAUAAGUCUGCCU